rnacentral:rRNA from 1 species
GAUGAACGCUAGCUACAGGCUUAACACAUGCAAGUCGAGGGGCAGCGGGGAGUAGCAAUACUUUGCCGGCGACCGGCGCACGGGUGCGUAACGCGUAUGUGACCUACCUAUAACAGGGGGAUAACCCAGAGAAAUUUGGACUAAUACAAGAUGGUGUUGAAAUUCCGCAUGUUAUUUCAACUAAAGAUUUAUCGGUAACGGAUGAGGAUGCGUACGAUUAGCUAGUUGGCGGGGUAACGGCCCACCAAGGCGACGAUCGUUAGGGGUUCUGAGAGGAAGGUCCCCCACACUGGAACUGAGACACGGUCCAGACUCCUACGGGAGGCAGCAGUGAGGAAUAUUGGUCAAUGGUCGGAAGACUGAACCAGCCAAGUAGCGUGAAGGAUGACUGCCCUACGGGUUGUAAACUUCUUUGUUUGGGAAUAAAAGACGCUACGUGUAGCGUUCUGCAUGUACCUUACGAAUAAGCAUCGGCUAAUUCCGUG